UACGUAGGGUGCAAGCGUUGCCCGGAUUUAUUGGGCGUAAAGGGCGCGUAGGCGGCUCUGCACGUUCGUUGUGAAAUCGCCCGGCUCAACUGGGCGGGGUCAGCGGAUACGGCAGAGCUUGAGCAAGCUAGGGGCAAUGGAAUUCCCGGUGUAGUGGUGAAAUGCGUAGAUAUCGGGAGGAACACCAGUGGCGAAGGCGGCUUCCUGGCCUGUUCUUGACGCUGAGGCGCGAAAGCUAGGGGAGCAAAGCGGG
rnacentral:rRNA from 1 species